rnacentral:rRNA from 1 species
GGCGGCAGGCCUAACACAUGCAAGUCGAGCGGUAGAGAGAAGCUUGCUUCUCUUGAGAGCGGCGGACGGGUGAGUAAUACCUAGGAAUCUGCCUGAUAGUGGGGGAUAACGUUCGGAAACGGACGCUAAUACCGCAUACGUCCUACGGGAGAAAGCAGGGGACCUUCGGGCCUUGCGCUAUCAGAUGAGCCUAGGUCGGAUUAGCUAGUUGGUGAGGUAAUGGCUCACCAAGGCUACGAUCCGUAACUGGUCUGAGAGGAUGAUCAGUUACACUGGAACUGAGACACGGUCCAGACUCCUACGGGAGGCAGCAGUGGGGAAUAUUGGACAAUGGGCGAAAGCCUGAUCCAGCCAUGCCGCGUGUGUGAAGAAGGUCUUCGGAUUGUAAAGCACUUUAAGUUGGGAGGAAGGGCAGUUACCUAAUACGUGAUUGUCUUGACGUUACCGACAGAAUAAGCACCGGCUAACUCUGUGCCAGCAGCCGCGGUAAUACAGAGGGUGCAAGCGUUAAUCGGAAUUACUGGGCGUAAAGCGCGCGUAGGUGGUUUGUUAAGUUGAAUGUGAAAUCCCCCGGGCUCAACCUGGGAACUGCAUCCAAAACUGGCAAGCUAGAGUAUGGUAGAGGGUAGUGGAAUUUCCUGUGUAGCGGUGAAAUGCGUAGAUAUAGGAAGGAACACCAGUGGCGAAGGCGACUACCUGGACUGAUACUGACUCUGAGGUGCGAAAGCGUGGGGAACAAACAGGAUUAAAU